UACGAAGGGGGCUAGCGUUGUUCGGAAUUACUGGGCGUAAAGCGCACGUAGGCGGAUAUUUAAGUCAGGGGUGAAAUCCCGGGGCUCAACCCCGGAACUGCCUUUGAUACUGGGGAUCUCGAGUCCGGGAGAGGUGAGUGGAACUGCGAGUGUAGAGGUGAAAUUCGUAGAUAUUCGCAAGAACACCAGUGGCGAAGGCGGCUCACUGGCCCGAUACUGACGCUGAGGCACGAAAGCGUGGGGAGCAAACAGG
rnacentral:rRNA from 1 species